CAAGGAUUAGAGAGAUAUUCGGGAAUGCGGGGUUAGCACAAGAAGGCUUCAGCAUAUCGAAGGUAGAUUAUUUUCAAAAAAGGCCCCAGCUUUGUUAUGCGCUUUUGGCCUCCCAAAAGAUUGAGCCAGCCAUUUAAGCUCUUUCCUAAUGAUGUUUUUAUUUGCAACCUUUAACCCAAAAGACUGGAUGGGUAAAAGGAGGAAGAUUGGGUGUUAAAAAAAGCUUUAGAGGCAAGAUCAAGCAACCUUUGAAGAUAUUCAGAUUCAAUCGUUUAACUGGAUUAAAAGAAGAUCUAGAUGGAAAUAUCUGGACUUGAGAAUAUAGAGAAGAUCACCAAAGGAGUGUAUGUGGAUUGUUGGUAUGGUAAUGUCUUUUGAAUUUGUAUAGGGGCAAGGGGUGCCAGGUAGUUUGGUUGGCUUGGUUGAUUAUCUGUAAUUUAAUCAAAAUUUAGGAUGUAUAGGGGUAUUAUUUAUGUGUCCUUUGCUAAUAAUAUUUGAGAUUGGAAUUG